rnacentral:lncRNA from 10 species
CCCCUGCCUCACAGGGUCCUAGAUAAAGGAAUACAGCGCAGGUGGGAAAUGCAGCUGCAAGAAGCAAACAUUUGUGGGCUCAGCCUGUGUGUCCAGUUGCGUUCUAGGGGCAGGUAGGAUGAAGAACAGUAAAGCAGGGUAAGGAAGACAGGAAUGCAUGGUGGAAAAGGCCCCAAGAGGAGAUGCUGUCUGAUGAGGGACCUGAGGAAGAUGUCAGCUAAGGGGCUUUCUAAGGAACAAACAUUCCAGCCAGAAGGAACAGCCAGUCCAAAGGCUCAGAGGUGGACUCAGAAAAGUGACUUGCGAUUAAGAUGAUGAUGGGAUGUUGGUGAUGGCGAUGCUUGUCUGGGUGAUACAAGGGCCUUGAGGCCCCUUUUUGGCCCCCGGGGGUUGGGGUGGUCUUUGGGGAGGCUGAGGACGCUGCCUAGAGCCAGGGGAGGGCCAGGAGUGAGCAACAGAGGCUCUGGUUGAAACCCUCCCCAGCUACUAAGACAAUGUGUCUGGGGAGAAAGAGGAGAAAGGAGGCUGCAAAGAUGGUGAGGAAAAGAACAUCAGGGUCGUGUUUU